rnacentral:rRNA from 1 species
UGGGGAAUAUUGCACAAUGGGCGAAAGCCUGAUGCAGCAACGCCGCGUGAAGGAAGAAGGCCUUCGGGUCGUAAACUUCUGUCCUUGGGGAAGAAGAACUGACGGUACCCAAGGAGGAAGCCCCGGCUAACUACGUGCCAGCAGCCGCGGUAAUACGUAGGGGCGAAGCGUUAUCCGGAAUUAUUGGGCGUAAAGAGUACGUAGGUGGCAACCUAAGCGCAGGGUUUAAGGCAAUGGCUUAACCAUUGUUCGCCCUGCGAACUGGGAUGCUUGAGUGCAGGAGAGGAAAGCGGAAUUCCUAGUGUAGCGGUGAAAUGCGUAGAUAUUAGGAGGAACACCAGUGGCGAAGGCGGCUUUCUGGACUGUAACUGACACUGAGGUACGAAAGCGUGGGGAGCAAACAGGAUUAGAUACCC